rnacentral:rRNA from 1 species
CCAAUAGCGUAUAUUAAAGUUGUUGCAGUUAAAAAGCUCGUAGUUGAAUUUCGGGAUCAAUAUAUCGGUCGUGCCUUUGGUACGUACUGGUAUCAUUGAUUUCUCCCUUCUGACGAAUCAUGAUGUCAUUAAUUUGGUGUUAUGAGGAGUUAGGACUGUUACUUUGAAAAAAUUAGAGUGUUUAAAGCAGGCAUUAGCUUGAAUACAUUAGCAUGGAAUAAUGAAAUAGGACGUUUGACCCUAUUUUGUUGGUUUCUAGGAUCGACGUAAUGAUUAAUAGGGAUAGUUGGGGGCAUUAGUAUUCAAUUGUCAGAGGUGAAAUUCUUGGAUUUAUUGAAGACUAACUACUGCGAAAGCAUUUGCCAAGGAUGUUUUCAUUAAUCAAGAACGAAAGUUAGGGGAUCGAAGACGAUCAGAUACCGUCGUAGUCUUAACCAUAAACUAUGCCGACUAGGGAUCGGAUGAUGUUAAUUUUAUAAUGACUCAUUCGGCGCCUUACG